UUCGUAGGUGGUGCGGCAAGUUGGAAGUGAAAUCUCUGGGCUUAACUCAGAGGCUGCUUUCAAAACUGCCGUGCUCGAGUGCGAGAGAGGCCAGUGGAAUUGCAGGUGUAGCGGUGAAAUGCGUAGAUAUCUGCAGGAACACCCGUGGCGAAGGCGGCUGGCUGGAUCGCAACUGACACUGAGGAACGAAAGCUAGGGGAGCAAACAGGACUAGAUACCCUGGUAGUCCUAGCCCUAAACCAUCAGGACUUGGGGUGGCCCGCGUAGGCGGGUCGUCCCGUAGCUAACGCGUUAAGUCCUGCGCCUGGGGAGUACGGUCGCAAGACUGAA
rnacentral:rRNA from 1 species